UGAGCAUGUAUCAAACAGUUGACUGGUUGGAUCCAGCUUUUCCUCUUACUUGCUUUGUUGCAACUUUUAAGUCUGUUUAUGUUUUUAUUCUUUCCUUUUUCUGUAACUUCCGAUCUUGCUUUCAUUUGCUAAACCUCAUUCUUUUGUCUUUCUUCAUAAGGAGUUGUCUGGCCUCAUAUCAACUGACAAAUACUACCAAGUUCCUAACUUUUCCUUCUUGAUGGUUGCAAAAUUUGCAGUGUAAUGAAAUCAGAAAGAUGAACAGCAACUUAGUCGUAAUUGGGAAGACUAACAUAGAUAAUGAUAAAGAAGACUUUGACUAUGAAGCAGAUGAUGAUGAUGCAGACAAUGGUGAGGAGUCAGAAGGUGAUGACUUUGAGCAGGAAACUGGUUGACAUGCCUUAAUUGGUUUCCUGUAUCUGUAUGUGCGGUCUAUCUAUGGUAAUGUUUCGUGGUUCAUGCUUUGGACUUAAGUUUUGAAAUUUUCUGAAGAGUAUCUGGAUAUUAUUUGCUCAAGUGUUUUGUAGCCAAGGAGAGAAUGAAGCAGACGAUGAUGAUGCAGACAAUGGUGAGGAGUCAGAAGGUGAUGACUUUGAGCAGGAAACUGGUUGACACGCCUUAAUUGGUUUCCUGCAUCUGUAUGUGCGGUCUAUCUACGGUAAUGUUUUCGUGGUUCAUGGUUUGGACUCAAGUUUUAAAAUUUUCUGAACAGUAUCUGGAUAUUAGUUGCUCAAGUGUUUUGUAGCCAAGGAGAGAUGGUUGGCAUUUCCCCCGUAGGAACGGAAAGAGCCAUCAGUCUUUCUGGCAGAAGAAUCAUAUAUGAAGAACUUGAUCUUUGUUUAUGCAUUUUGGAUGAUACAACUACUCAAGAUUUUAAUUUCUACAUUACUUUGAACGAGGAGAUCUGUUUUAUAUGCAGUUAGUUUCUUGUUCUAUCCAUUAAGUAUACAACAGAAGAUGCAAAGUUUGUUCUUCUCUAACUUCGAUUGUACAAUAUUGUACUACCAAGAGCGUAGAACUUUUUAUAAGCGGUGUAACAAUUAAUCUGUAGACGGUAAAUGGUGAUAGUAGCAGCAAGCCAACACAUUCAAAGUUGUCUCAUACACUAGUUGUAUGAGACAACUUUUUAUCUCACAGUUUUGUGGACCAAGAAUUUUGUAGGCCCAAAAAUAUAAGAUUGGGGUUCACAAAUUUGUGAAAUAAAAAAGAAUCUCAU
rnacentral:lncRNA from 1 species